rnacentral:lncRNA from 10 species
CGCCCAGGGAGGCACAGGACCUGGAGUGGGGACUGGGAAUUGUGGUCUCUGAAACACACACAGGCAUUACACACUCCGCCAUACGUGCAGGCCUGGGGUUCAGCUCACAGGCUUGAUGGAGUGGGUGUUUUUAAACCCCUUAGCAAUUCCAAAGCAACAUAUUUUUGGAAUUUAUCAGUCCCCGUACGCCUAGAAUACCUGACCCCUUUCUUCGGAUGUGGUUGCGGCGGGACAAGAACCAAGGUGGUCUUUGCUGUGGACUGAGCUCAAAGCACACGUCGCUGUCAUGGCGGGGAACGGGCUGGAAGACGCUCCGGAAAUGACCGGGGCGAAUGGGAUUCAGCAUCCGGGCUGCCGCUGCCUCUCAGGGGCUCCCUGCAAACGUGGCCGGCGGAGGGAAGGAGUGUCCUGGUGGAGCUCUGGUCGCAGGGAGCAUUCCUCAAAUGAACGCGGUUCCAAUCAACCGGGUCCGGCCAAAAGGCAGAUUCCAGCUCAGUAGCUCAGAGGCCUGAUUCUGCAUCUCAGCCGGCGUCAGGCCACCCCCGUGCUGUCGGGUCCACUCGGAGCGGGCAGGUCCUGGGCACACUGGAGAGUGCAGAAGCUGGUGGCUUUGUUCCAUUUCUGUAUACAAUCCUGUCUCCCCUCUCCCUGCUGCUGGCUCCCCCUUCCUCUUUCUCCCUCUCCUCCAUCCUGCCUCCUCCUCUCUGCCCCCGCCCCACCUAUUCCCCCAUCCUCACCAGACACUCACCCAGUGCGGCCCACCUGACCCUGCCCCAACCAUCCUCUUACUCAGAAAUCCGUUUGCUUGUGAUGUAAUAAUAUUUUGGAACAUCUCAUAUCCCUUCUCCUCACAGACUUCUCACUCUAUCACCAAUGUUAAAAGACAAACUUCAGACAAACUGAAUGUCACAGAGCUUCAUUGAGCAAAUGACUGUUGGUGAAUGGGGCAGCCCUGGACCCAGCAUAGGCUCAGGGCGGCUCCGUCGCUGUCGCGUGGUCCGGUUAGAUUUGUGGACAGAGAAAGGACAGUGAUGCCAAGAAAACUGGACGGAGGCACAGAAACAGCCAGACGGGCACCGCUUGGCGUGGGCCUCAUUUAAACACAGUUUGAACCGGGCCACGGUGCAUGGUGACGCCUGGCUGCUGUGAUCCGCUGAGAUGCGGCUGCUUGGGGCAAGGGUGGGUUAGGUCUGUUGGCACGCCCAGUUAGGUGACAGUCACUAAGUGUGGAGAGGUCUUCAGGCUGACCCUAAAAUAUGUAAGGAGGCAGCUUUAGGCUAAACUUGACGUCACACAGAAUACCACCAUCUAGGCUGUCAACCCAGUGGAACGUGAGGACAAUUUUCUUCUUCAAUGUUUUGAUUAAUUGGAUUAAUAGGGGUGGAAUAAUCAGAUAAUUUUUCACCAAAAUUCAUGUUUUCCUUCAGAAAUUUUCCAGUUAGGUUGCCUAAAGCAAAAAAUUCACAAGAGAAGUGUCAAAUAUCUGCUUGACUUAAAACUUUUGUAUACACAGCUUCUAUUUUUU